AUGGAUGGUCUACCUUUGGUGUGCUAUUCGACAGGGACAGUAAAUUCCCUUCUGGACAAGCUGGCCAAACUGAGGAAUCAUUCCAAUCCAACAGAAGAGUUCUCCAACCUGACAGAAAACUUCAAGAAAGCUGUGCGGAGCCUUAAGGAGGAUUUCUGCGACAAGCUCGGCGUACCCACGGUGUGUAUGAAGCAAGUCAGGGAGCUGGUCUUCGAAAUUGAAGACUGGAUCAAUCAAAAGGCAAAGACCGACAUGCUGGAUUCGUCGGACACAAAAGAAAUCCAAUAUUUCAUGACCGAGAUCAGCGAAGUGCAUGAGCGCUUCACAUGGUACGGCGAUCUUUUCAAGGAAGUGCUCACCGAGCCCGGUCUUGAUGUUGUUGCACCCAGCAACAUUACCAUCAACCCUCGACUGCCUGUCGAGGAGAAAUCUUUCCCUGGUAUUCUCGAAGGUCCAAGAGACAAGAUCGUCAAACACCUAACAGAAGAUAAGGAGGGGAUGCGAAAGGUGGUGUCGAUUGUCGGAAUGGAAGGCCUUGGUAAGACUACUCUUGCCAAGGAGAUCUAUUCGGAGCUUCAACUUCGUCGUCAGUUCGAGUGCCAAGCUUUCGUCUCUGCUGGCAGGAGACCUGCCAUGAGGGAAAUACUAAAUGAUAUACUCCGUCAAGUAAAGCCUUGGAGUGCUAAAUUAUCUAGCUACGAGAAAGCUAAGGACGUGGAAGAAAUUAUCACUGAGCUCCAAGAAUAUUUCGGCACUAAGAGGUACUUCAUCGUAGUCGAUGGCAUAUGGACUAUCUGGGCUUGGAAAGUUAUCAAUUGUGCUUUGCCAAAUAACCUUGGAAGUAGGGUCUUGAUUACAACUUGCAUCAAGGAUGUAGGGAAAUCUUGUUCAAUAUAUCGUAGCGAUCUUGUCUACGAGAUGGAGGCACUUAGCAAGAAGAACUCUGAAAUCUUAUUUCUGAGAAGUAUAGCUCGUCGAGGAGAAAGAGUGUCAGAUUUUGAAGAAGUUUGUGGUAACAUGUUGUUGGAUAUGUGUGAUGGCAUGCCAUUGGCCAUAAUUGUUGCAGCCAACUUAUUAGCCAGGAAAUCUGAAGAAAGGACAGAGCUGAAGAUGCUUGGGAAAUCUAUUAUAUCAUCAAUGAAGCAAUAUUCCCCCACUAAAGGAAUGACAAAUAUACUGCACAUGAGUUUUGCUGAUCUAUCUCUUCCUUUGAGGUCUUGUUUUCUGUAUCUUGGUCUUAUUCCACAAGAUUAUACCAUAAAAAAAGAUCGUUUAAUACGGUUAUGGGGAGCUGAAGGAUUUAUCCCAAGAACAAAUAGAGAAUGCUUGUGGGCAACAGGGGAGAGGUUCUUCAAUGAGCUUAUCAGUAGAAGACUGAUUCAACCGGUGUUUGACUACACUGAUGACCAAGCAUUUGGAUGUACCAUUCAUGGUGUGAUUCUUGAUUUCAUCAGAUCCAUGUCCAGAGAAGAGAACUUUGCUACAAGGGCUGCAGAAUUAUGUUUUGGUCCAUUUCCAUGUGACACCAUUCGGCGGUUAUCGCUCGACAGUAGUAAUGAAGACGAAGUUGUCACAUUCUCGGCAAGCACUCCGCACUUAUCAAGGAUGCGAUCGCUCAUAUUUUUCGAAGAUAUUAAUGAUGAAGAGGAGAUGCAUGUUCCACUGUCCAUAAGAGCUUCUGUGGAUAUUCUUUGGGGCUUCAAACUUCUGCAGGUGCUAGAUCUAGAAGAUAGAAAGGGGUUAGAAGAUCACCAUCUGGCAGGCAUUGGAGAAUUGGUCCAACUGAGAUACCUAGGACUGGCAGGGACUGGUAUCAGGGGGUUACCAGAGGAGAUCGGAGAACUGGAGCAGCUAGAGACCCUAGAUUUGAGGCGGAACUGGUACUUUGGGACGACUUUGCCAGCAUCAAUAUUUAAAUUGCAAAAGUUGAAGCAUCUGCUGCUUUUCCUGCUUGAUGUGGACGUCGAGAGAAUUCGGGUGAUGCAUGAACUAGAAGAAGCAAGCAGUUUUGCCAGCGGAAGCAACUCACUUGGUAUGGUGGUACAACUGCUGAGGGAGUCUGAAUGCCUAAGGAUACUAGAUGUAAGGCUGGGUGCAUCACCAGUAACCAAUCUCAUGUAUUUUUUCGAUGAGGUUGUAAAGUCCAAGCUCCAAUCCCUAUCUCUUAAUUGUGAGGAUUUUGAUGAUGAAGAGGUUUCCCUACUGGUGGAUUCAUGGGUGGAAGUCACAGCUCCACCAGAAAAUAAAUUUGAUCCCCCAAGAUUUGAGCUCGUACUACUUGAUCUUCCUCUCGGGCGAGUUCCACCUAAUAUGGGAUCACUCUCCAGCCUUACCCACUUGCACAUUCAACUCGAGCAAGCAAAAGCAGAAGAUUUCCAAGUCCUCGGGGGCUUGAUUAAUCUAGUCCUACUCAACAUGGUUGCAAAAAGUUGUUUCCUAGAAGGAAGCAGGUUCAUCAUCAAGAAGGGCACCUUUCUGCAUCUGAAGGUGUUUUCGUUCAUAAUCCGGGAUAGCUGGAUGGGCCUGGAGUUCAAAGAAGGGGCCAUGCCACAGCUUCAAAGGCUUUGGCGUACUCUUGUAGUGAUAACAGCCCGGGAUCGAUUUGAAUACUUGGAUAUUGGCAUCGAACACCUCACAUGCACAACAGUCCAUGUGAUGAUCAAUUGCACAAAUGCUACUUAUUCGCAGGUGGACGCCGCAGAAGCUGCCAUCAGAGCCAAAAUAUCUGAACCCGUGUUAGUAUUGAGCAGAAUUAAUGAAACAUGUAUGAAGGACGAAGGGCAACUUUCAAUACAUCAAGAUGAGGGCCACUCACUAGACUUGCACAAAGAUGAUGACGACAAGAUGUGGAAGGCAUGGGAGAAGAUAGGAAUAAGUAGCUUACAAUCAAUACGGGAAAAACGUGUGUUGCCUAGUGUUUUUCUCUAA
rnacentral:rRNA from 1 species